rnacentral:rRNA from 1 species
GACGAACGCUGGCGGCGUGCUUAACACAUGCAAGUCGAACGAAGAGCGAUGGAAGCUUGCUUCUCUCAAUCUUAGUGGCGCACGGGUGAGUAACGCGUAAUCAACCUGCCCUUCAGAGGGGGACAACAGUUGGAAACGACUGCUAAUACCGCAUACGAUCUAACCUCGGCAUCGAGGAUGGAUGAAAGGUGGCCUCUAUUUAUAAGCUAUCACUGAAGGAGGGGAUUGCGUCUGAUUAGCUAGUUGGAGGGGUAACGGCCCACCAAGGCGAUGAUCAGUAGCCGGUCUGAGAGGAUGAACGGCCACAUUGGGACUGAGACACGGCCCAGACUCCUACAGGAGGCAGCAGUGGGGAAUCUUCCGCAAUGGACGAAAGUCUGACGGAGCAACGCCGCGUGAGGGAUGACGGCCCUCGGGUUGUAAAGCUCUGUUAAUCGGGACGAAAGGCCUUCUUGCGAAUAGUUAGAAGGAUUGACGGUACCGGAAUAGAAAGCCACGGCUAACUACGUG